GACCAGACCCCAAUCUGACCAGACCCGUUUAGAUAAUCUGCCAUUACCCAACUCAAGUUUAAUAAUGGAAUAUGACACGAAGGUGAUCAACGCAAUUAGCUUAGAGAGUGGAUAUGUACAUACAUUAAAAAAAAUAA